UCCGGGUUAUGUCCUGUCCAUUUAUUUACACUACAGAGGUUCAAAUACAUGAGGAAAUGUGUGUGGUUAUCUGCAAGUGAAAAUAUAAAACAAUAAACACAUACUGUACAAAUGUUUGUGAUAUUGUCCAAUAAAAUCCCAUUUACAGGUGAGGUAACAGUAUCUCAUAAUGCUGUUUCAACACAAACUCAGAUAACCAUGUAAUAUCUCUAUGAGGUCACCAGAGGGUACUCUGAGCUUACAAAUGGCUCGAUGUGGCUUUUUAAUAUAACCACAUAAUAAACAGUUCACAAGUUUUUUAAACACACCUUUACAAUAUUACAUUACAGAAUCCUUAAGAUUGAACUCAUAAUAAUAAUCAUAAUAACACGUAUAUAUAUAAUAGAAACAGCAUUCAACAAAAAUUACCCUGCAUUCAUCUUUUUGUCGUGAGCAUGUUACAGAACCACAGAGCAUGUUGCUGGUGCUAAGACUAGCAACUUUACAAGUGUUAUGCUUGGCCUACUAAGGCAACUGGCAUAGUCAAAAAGAUUCCAUAAAAAAUUUUGAUCCACAAAUAAUGCUGUGCACCAAGGACACACUGGAACUAAGUACAGGAAUAAAUACCCAAAUACCAGGGUUGGUAAUCAAAAUUUAGUUCCAAAUUACAGCCAAAAUGGAAAAUGGAAAGUACUGGAAAGAAAAACUUAUUUUCUCUUCUGCUUAUGAGUUGUGAGACACAUAACCAAUGCUGCCACCAUUAUUUGUUGGAUAUUUUAGCUUGUUUUUGUUUGUUUCAGAACUAGAAUCGAUCAAAUGCAAAUGAUUUCCAGACAGCACCACGUGUUGACCUCUAAACACAACAUUGACCUAUUAAGAACCUCAAAAGCCAUCUACUGUAUGACCUACAGACAAAGCAUACAGACUAUCCAUCAAUUCAUAUCUCAAUUUUUCAAUUGUAAAAUACUUUUUUUCCAAUAGGACCUCUAUGCCAACAAGCAACAUUUCAUGGACUCCUCUGUCUAUAUGGAGGGACGAGGUGGAGGUUGUAUCUAAAUACAAAUACUUGGAAGAAAUUUGGACAACAAAUUCAACAGAGAGCUGGCUGUAUUUUCUGUGAAGGCUCAAGUCCUUCAAUUUCUGCAGCACCAUGCUGCUGAUGUUCUAUGAGUCUCUGGUGGCCAUUAAUAAAGUUAGACAGCUAUAAACAAGAACUUUGAUUCUGCAUUUUGAACCCUUUUAUACGUAAAUUCACGUAAGGCAACCCAGCUAGGAAGGAACGUUCUCACACAUUUUGGUGUGUGAGAAACAAUGUUUUCAACGUUAAACAACAUUGUGUAAUAUUAUAUUUCAUCAUAUUUCAUAUAAAUUUUAACUGAAACAUUCUGUAAAUGUUCUUAGAAGAUUGUGAAUGCAAAGUUUGUUUGACAAUAUUGUGGGAAUAUUGUAUAUUAUACAAAACUAAAACUUUUUUGUUGCAAAAUUUUGAGAAUCUUCUUUAAACAUCUUCAGUGUAAUGUUUCUUCCAUAACUUUCAGACAAUGUCACAUAAUAUAUGUAAUGUGACCUCACAUUUGUUCCAUUCUUGUAAACAUAUCUCAUGACCCUCUAAAUAAAAUAUGAGUCUGGACAAACCUGAUUGUAAACUUGAAUUUGACUUAUUUACACGCAUAAGAGUUGUGUUGUUAGUCUGAGUACUUCGAAAACAUAGAUGACCUGGACUCUUUAUUUGACCCAAACGCCUCCUGUGUAGAUUUAUGCAGGACCAAGGCUGCUGCUGUUGCUCUGCUAACAAAGGUGGUGGUCAUGCUCUGCUUUCUCUAUAGGCUAGUGUUGGGUAUGUCUUUUGGAGGCUGAUGCAAGUAUCUUCACAAAUCACUAAUACAAUACAUUAAAGACAAAAAUACAGCAAUUGUCUGCAAAAACAAGUUCCUAACAUGAUACCAAUCACAUGCCAAGCCCCAUAAAUCCAAUAGUGCAAUUCAGUGCAAUGAUGUGACUGGACAAUGAUGUUAUAAAAUUCAAUUAAUUAAUUACUAAUAAAUGAAGAAAAACCUGUUUUGUGUUUACAAUACAGUCCAUGUUGAACAUACAGUACCUUGCUCGUAAAGAUUGCUCAAGAUUAACAAGAACAAUUAAGUAUAAUAUGAAAAACUUUGGGCUUAACACUUUGUAAGCAGCAAGUAGGCAAAAAAUGUCACAACACAAAGAGGUCUUUGAUACAUGCUUAAUAAUAGCAAAAAAUGUAGCAUUGGGAGACACACGCUGCUGUAAACAAACACCAAGCUCAUGGUCAUAAUAACAGUUGAGACAAUUCCGCACUGGUCAGUCAGUCCACUCCACCCUCCCUACCUCAGGUCAGUUAUAAGGUUAGGGCUACUGUCUGUGGAUUUUACAGCUGCACAUCACAUUCUGCAAAUUGCACCCGACUUGUAAAACUUCAGUUUUUUCUUGUGAAACACGUAGUGUUGAUUAAUGUAGAAUUUGUAGUUUACAGGUGACAAUAUCUAAUAAUCAAAUACAUUGGAUUUUAUUGAUGCAGACAUCUAAUAAUCACUUAAUUUUACUCUAGAGCUGCUCUAUGACGAAAUCAUACUGACACAUGAGCCAGACUUCGCUCACACAUCAAUGCUUUAACCUCAGACAAUGUCACAUUCUCAGUUGAUGAAUUAGUCUGCAGUAGCACAUAUUAAAUAAUUAUACAGCCAAAAAAAAAAAA
ensembl:lncRNA